AUUGAACGCUGGCGGCAGGCUUAACACAUGCAAGUCGAGCGAGAGGCGGACGGGUGAGUAAUGUCUGGGAAACUGCCUGAUGGAGGGGGAUAACUACUGGAAACGGUAGCUAAUACCGCAUACCAUCAGAUGUGCCCAGAUGGGAUUAGCGAGUAGGUGGGGUAAUGGCUCACCUAGGCGACGAUCCCUAGCUGGGCUGAGAGGGUGACCAGCCACACUGGAACUGAGGCACGGUCCAGACUCCUACGGAAGGCAGCGUUGGGGAGUAUUGCACAAUGGGCGCAAGCCUGCUGCAGCCAUGCCGCGUGUGUGAAGAAGGCCUUCGGGUUGUAAAGCACUUUCAGCGAGGAGGCGUUACUCGCAGAAGAAGCACCGGCUAACUCCGUGCCAGCAGCCGGGUAAUUC
rnacentral:rRNA from 1 species